rnacentral:rRNA from 1 species
CCUACGGGAGGCUGCAGGGAGGAAUAUUGGUCAAUGGACGAGAGUCUGAACCAGCCAAGUAGCGUGAAGGAUGACUGCCCUAUGGGUUGUAAACUUCUUUUAUAAAGGAAUAAAACGAGGCACGUGUGCCUUUUUGCAUGUACUUUAUGAAUAAGGAUCGGCUAACUCCGUGCCAGCAGCCGCGGUAAUACGGAGGAUCCGAGCGUUAGCCGGAUUGAUUGGGAUUAAAGGGAGCGUAGAUGGGUUGUUAAGUCAGUUGUGAAAGUUUGCGGCUCAACCGUAAAAUUGCAAUUGAUACUGGCAGUCUUGAGUACAGUUGAGGUAGGCGGAAUUCGUGGUGUAGCGGUGAAAUGCUUAGAUAUCACGAAGAACCCCGAUUGCGAAGGCAGCUUACUAAACUGUGACUGACAUUGAUGCUCGAAAGUGUGGGUAUCAAACAGGAUUAGAUACCCCAGUAGUC